rnacentral:rRNA from 1 species
UACCCGCUGAAUUUAAGCAUAUAAUUAAGUGGAGGAAAAGAAACUAACUAGGAUUGGUCCAGUAACGGCGAGUGAACCGCCAUCAGCCCAGCUUGUGAAUCAUCACUUGUGAUGAAUUGUGGUAUGCAGGCCUUUUUAAGUAGCUGGCUGACUAAGUCCCCUGGAAUGGGGUAGCUGAGAGGGUGAGACUCCCGUUUGUCAGCUAGCGUAAGAAGUUGCCAACGAGUCGAGUUGUUUGGGAUUGCAGCUCUAAGUGGGUGGUAACUUCCAUCCAAGGCUAAAUAUUGGUGAGAGACCGAUAGCGUACAAGUACCGUGAGGGAAAGAUGCAAAGCCGCGCGAAAGCGCUGUCAAAGAGUACCUAAAAUUGCUGAAAAGGAAGCGAAGGAAACUAGUGUAAGCCGCUCCGCAUUUCCUCGUCCGCUUGCGGGCGGGGCGCUGCUGCUGGUGUCGUUCCAGAUGGCGCCUUGCAGCGAAAGAUAUUGACGCUGCGAGCUGCUGACUAGAACCAAAUGGUUUUCUUCUCCCCGUCUUGAAAC